GAGGAUAUAGCUCAGUGGCAGAGUGCCUGCCUAGCAAGUAUGAGGCUCUGGGUUCAAUUCCUAUUAACCCCC
rnacentral:tRNA from 1 species